rnacentral:lncRNA from 1 species
CUGUUUUUCAGUUGGUACGUUUUAACAAUGUGUAUCAGAUUAUAGUAGACAAAAAUACCCUCAUUUAUCAUGGAUUCUAAGUUUUAAGGUCAAGGAUAUUUAAAUAAUUUUCAUUCUCAAAACUUAAAAAAAAAAAAAAAAGAAACCCCCAAACCCUUACUCACCUCCCUCAUUCCUCUCAACCCUUUCUCUUUCAUCUCUCCCACUCCAACAUUUUCUGUCAUCUCUCUCACUCCAACAUUUUCUCUAUCAUCCCUACUGUUUGCUAUAUUUGAAAAAAAAAAAUCAGAAACCCU